CGAGGGAGAGACGUAGGAAGGACCGUCGACGCCGGAACGACGGGUACGACGUCGGUCGUCGCGACGACACUGAGACGCCGGUCGUCGAGACGCGCGUAUCUAGACGCGCGCCGAAGGCACCGCGCGGCGGCCAGCGUCGAAGAAGAGACGAGAGGAACUACGAGGCACGACGUGCGAGAGGAUAACGACGAAGAGGAUGACGUCGAGGUGCACGAAUACGGACGCUCCUCUCUCUCUUCCUCGGCUCCCUGUAGGUUCCCGUUCCCGAUCGGGAGGACGCCAGGUCCCAGACUACGCCGACUCCGAGCCACCGGCGCUGCGUCGGCGUCGGCGUCGGCGUAAAAAGUUACGGCUCGAGCGCAAGCUCGCCGGGAGCGCGCCGCGACGCGCCGCGAGGACGCCUCGACGAGUCCGCACGCUGCGAGUAAGUGGGGAGAGGCCACCACGAAAAACAAAGAGGAGAGUCGGUGAUCCAACAGAGAGGAGAGAUCGACAUCACACACCCCAUCCCACUCGAUCCCACAGAGAGGGAAGAGGGAGGAAGAUAUCGCGGAGAAGGAGAGGGAACAGCUGAUUUUGAGCAAGGAAGGGAGAAGAGGGUGUCAGAUAAACAAGGGGAGAGUGGUAGUAAAAGAAGAAGAAUUAGAGCGCGAGCUGAUAAAUAGAAAGGGAGACGACAAAUUGAAGGAGGGAAACCGGAAGUGGUAGAAGGUUGAGUUUAGACGAGGGUCUGCAAUAAUCGAGUCGAACACGAAAAAAAGAAUUUAAUGGGCGAUAAAAAAAUAAACCCGAAUAUUUGCGUGUUUGUUUGAGAAAACAGUUAAGUAGAAAAGGUUCAUCUGGUUCAUGACGACAUCUAUGACAGAAUAUUUGGCGAAAUAAAAUAACAGAAGUUACGUAAAAUAAGUCAAUGCUGUUAAGUAAUCUACUGCAGAACAAAUACGAAUUACAUUCGUAUGAAUUUAAUAUUCGACGAAAAAAAUAGAGAUAUAUCGGAGAAACCAGAGCAACUCUAGCACGGAACUACAUUUAAUCGAACUCAGAUUAGAGCAAACUUGCCGAAGUAGCUAGGAAUAUUUACCGAAGAAAGUAGCGAAACAUCGUCAAGUAGAAUGAGCCUAUCCAGUCAGACCACCAAACCUCACAAUUUCAACUCAUACAUAUAUAUAUAUAUAUCAGCAAAUAAUCAUAGAGAAGCAAGUUUUAAUCCUUUAAAGAUCAAUGUUUCGUUAACGUGACAUUUCAUUUGCAAUAUUUUUUUCAGUUAGCUUAGCCUGUUACAUUAUGUUUUCGAACAUUGUAGUUACGAAAAUGAAUUCUAAAGAAUAAUCUAAUAUCCUUUCAUCCCUGUUCCUUCUUCCAGGUAAAUUUUAUAAUUUUGAUACGAUAAACGAUUUUUCUUUCUGCCGUGGAGAUCUUUCUUAGGUCGCCAGUCUAUCUGUCGUGAUAAAAUGUCGCGGUCACACAACUUUUACCUACUACUUUUCAUCCCAUUCGUUAAUGGAUUAAUUAAAUCAUGGAAUUUAACAGAGAUCGAAAACGAAAAAACGAAACAAACAAGGUUGAAUCGAAAGAGAGGAGGAGAGAGGGGAAGCGAGAAAGAGAAGAAAAGUCAGAGUAGGGGGAAGCGAAGGAUGAACAAGUAGGAGAAGCUCGGAAGACCCGUAAUUCGUAAGCUUCUAUUUAUCCGGCUCGUUUUCGUUUCUACCUGCCUCUUCCUCGGCUCUCUUCUUUGCCAGCUAUCUACAGCCACCUCUAUGCAGCCAGUCCUCUCUUUCUCUGCGUCUCUCUGCGCUGUGUAUUUUUGGGCGCUCGUUAGGAAUUAGCGCUGUGGGACUCGAAGGUCUCCUCUAGCCAUAGCUCCUCCCCUUUCUCCGUGAUCAACGUGGAGAACGGAGGGUGUUUCGAGGGGAUCAACGUUAACUAAUACCCCGGUUACACCAUAUAGAGGCAGAAACGACGCCCCCACGCGAUACGGAAGUUUGUCAACAAUCUUCCACCCGCGCCACCCCUCAAAAAUAGCGACGGCUGGAACGCGGUAAUCUCAAAAUCGCGGCCAAAGCGAAACGAGAUUACGUGCCCCCUUAAAACUACCCUCGUCCAACGCAGAGGAAAAGUUCGUAACUAGUCGUGAGACGACACGGCUUAAAACUUUCAUCUGACUACAGGAGGAUUCGGAGGCUGGCCUCUCGUUCACCAGCUUUUGCGGAGAUCGUUUUAGCUUUUGGCUGGCUGCAAGAUCGUCCAUCUACUUUUUACGAUUCUUCACGCGGGAAAACUUUAUUUUUCUCCAUUUUUCGAUUCUCCGAGUUCGAUUUCUCUAUGAUCUUUCUUUUCUAAAAUAUUCUUCGUUCAACUCGACGAUAAUCGUUUGAUGUCGAUAACAUUGGAAGACAAAUGACGCAUCUUAUUUAUUAUUCUUCAUUUUAUAUUAAUCUUAUCGAAGAUACUCGCUGAUCACUAAUGAUGCAGAUUUUAUGAAAGUUUGUGUCAAUUGUUAAACGUUAAUUGUUACGUCCAGAAACGACGUCACUUUUACCGUCGCGUGGCGAAGGAAGAAGCGAUCGAACCGCGCGAGGAGAUCGCCAGUUGGUGGCCGGAAAACUCGCGAACUGCUACUGGUGAAUGGUAUCGGCGAGCGACUGAGCUCCAUCGGGGCACCCUUCCCCGUAGAAAGAGGAGCCGCCGCGAACGUGAUGGAUUCCACAGUUCGAAGGGGCCCUCGUUCCUUGCUCAACGUGUUGCAGGCUUCAAGGCGCUUUUCCGAAAACGGAGGGCUUAAUCUUCUGGAUGCUGGAGGUACGGGACGACGAUUUACGGCCUUACGAUUCUUCUCGUUUAUUUGUAUUUACAUUAGUAUUAAAUCAUAUGGAUACAGUGUUUCGUAAGAUAAAUAGAACUUUAUAAAU